GACGAACGCUGGCGGCGUGCCUAAUACAUGCAAGUUGAGCGCUGAAGGUUGGUACUUGUACCAACUGGAUGAGCAGCGCACGGGUGAGUAACGCGUGGGGAAUCUGCCUUUGAGCGGGGGACAACAUUUGGAAACGAGUGCUAAUACCGCAUAAAAACUUUAAACACAAGUUUUAAGUUUGAAAGAUGCAAUUGCAUCACUCAAAGAUGAUCCCGCGUUGUAUUAGCUAGUUGGUGAGGUAAAGGCUCACCAAGGCGAUGAUACAUAGCCGACCUGAGAGGGUGAGCGGCCACAUUGGGACUGAGACACGGCCCAAACUCCUACGGGAGGCAGCAGUAGGGAAUCUUCGGCAAUGGACGAAAGUCUGACCGAGCAACGCCGCGUGAGUGAAGAAGGUUUUCGGAUCGUAAAACUCGGUUGGUAGAGAAGAACGUUGGUGAGAGUGGAAAGCUCAUCAAGUGACGGUAACGACCCAGAAAGGGACGGCUAACUACGUG
rnacentral:rRNA from 1 species